UCAAUUUUGGGGCAAUUGUGGGCCGACUAUAUAAAGAAACGACGACGACCGAGGCGGAAUAGCCUUCUGCGGAGGAAUAGAGGGAGCCGAUCACCUCCAGGUGUGUUUCCCUCCUCGUUCCGUUCUAAUCUCUCUCAAACUCUUCUUCUGUUCUUCGAUGAUGUAUUCUGCUGUUAAUUCUUCUAACCUCGGAGCAUUCAUCAUGUUGUUGUCGCUAACUAGUUGAUCGGCUGCGUCUUAGGUUUCUUCCGACUAAGAUGAUUCGAGUUCAUGCUCUCGCUUGCCGAUGCAUUCUUAGAUUUCUGUCUUACCUCUGAAUCUUCCCUUAUAAUUCGCCUCAGGCCAAUCGAUUUCUUUCUUUGGCGUUCUCUUUCUUGGAUAGCUUAAUAGCAUCUGGAAUUCGUGGUGAUGAACAAAUAGAUCUGACUGAGUGAGGACACAUUCCCUUGUGUUAUUUCCUUCUUGAUAAGAUCGGUAUCUGCGUGAGUCCGACAAACCGACUAAUAUACUAGGAAUUUCGUAAUUGUCGAUGGGGGCUUUGAGUUUUAGCAUACACAUGUUUGUGUUCUGCAAUCGAAGGCCCUUUCCAAGGAUCAAGGAAUGAGAAUUAGCCUCCCGUGAUCAUGUAGCUUACAAACAUUGCCUUCUUGAUAAGAUCUCACUAACCUAUGUUUCUUAUGCUUUUAUGGUUGUGAGAAUACCACGUUACUUACAUUCUAUUCCACCAGCGGAUCACCAAAGAGGGAUCGUUUUGAUGCUCUUUUUAUGUCUGUUGUAUGAACCACUCUGGGACGUGUAUAAGAUAGAGCUGCUUUGCUGCAAGUUUGGAUCUAUGUUCCUUUAUACUACUGUAGUCAUUGAAGCCACAAUUGUUGUAGUUGAUGGCUCAUAUCGUAUAAGCAGUGAAAUAGGACUUGAUCAUAAUCCUAAAAUGUUAAUUGACGGCGAUGGGGAAGGAGGGGUCCAAGAGGAGGGUGGAAUAGAGGAGGAUUGGAGUAAAAGUGGGGACGAGAAGGGAUGGAGAAUGGCACUCAGGCCCUUGUCGGCCAGGGUCACUUUGUGUGCAUGGAACAACCUGGCUUGUUGUUGGGUCUGAUCUAUGGGCCUCAUAAACUUUGCCAUAUAAACAUGUCUUCCUUUUCAUUAAAAAACAUGAGUAAUUAAUGUGAAGUAAGAUUAUUACAUAGUUUCUUUUCCUAUGGGUUCCAUAUGGUAGGGAAAUAUUCAUCUCAAUCAGGGCUCAACACGUGGUAGCCUAAUCAAACCAAGGUGGCCAAGGACUCGGUCAACGGUUGAGCCGCAUAGACAUUGGCCUAAUAUAAAGUUUCGAAGAAAUAUUUCGUCCAUAUUGUAGAGUAAUCGAUGCAAGUCAUUGAUUUAUUUGAAACUCUCAUUUUCUAUUCCGUGACUAACUUAAGCGUCAGAAUGAUCAUGUUGGGAAUUCGAUAUGUCCUCGGUCUUUGUUUAGGUCAGCAUCUGAGACUAUCUUGGCUCCACCUAAGUUUUUGUACAUGUAGAGUCGAACCAAUUCUGACUGAUUCGGACAUUACCGACAUUCUCCCAAAUGACAGUAGUACUCUUGCAUAGCACUUCAUCAUUACCAGAUCUAUCUAGUGAUUAGGUCUUCAAUUGGAUCACCAGUUGCUGAGAAACGGCAGCUACUGAUUGUAAAUGGUGAUUAUGAUUUAUGAUGCCUUCAUCUCAUCAUCUGAAGCCUGACUGGGGAUCAUGUCUUCAACUUGUUAUUAUCAUAUCAUGCCCACUUGAAAUUACUAUUAACAGUUCACAUAACCUCCCAUUUUUGUUCUAAUUCCUUCAGCCAGUGGAAUCCUAAGUCUAGUCGUUAUUUUCAACAAUAUAUAUGUUCAGUUCGCUCUGUUCUGGAAAGGGCCCCAACACACUUAGGUUCUUGCAAAUGCAUGUUCUAGGGAACAUCAAUGUAGCAGCCAAUAUCAAUUUCUUUGUUAAAAAUGCCGGAUAUUACUCAACAGAGCAUCAAAUGUAGUACUAAAGUUUUCACCUCUAUCGAUCAUAGCUUGCAAUAUUCGAAUUGGUCUUCUAUGGUGGUUCUCUUGUUUUCCAAAUAGUAGUUCAUCAAGUGUUGGUUAAUAAUACAAGAAACAGUUUGCAUGACAAUCUGUCUAUCCAUUUUUGCAUUGCCAUGCUUUAAUUAAUGACAUACACUCCUUAAAUCUUUAGUUGUUUUGACCAUCACUAGAUCUACGACUGCGAAAUAAUUAUUUUUCUCUGUUAAAUUUUUUUUCUCUAAAAUAAUGCGAGGCUGUGAAUCAUCUAUUUUGAUUUGUAUCCUUUCUGUUUGGUAGAAUCACUUGGGUUCCUUCUCAGUUCUUAUAUAAUUAUCUGGUCUACAGAUAUCAGAGUAGAGAUGGUAGCGAAUGCUGAACCAGUAGCUCAAUAAAGGAAGAACUAAUGCAGCUAAAACUUGAAAUCACAUAAGGUAGGAGAAACAUCUGCCCUAUCACACAAGCCAACUGGGUUGGGUACCCCAUAGUCUAAGUUGCCCUCUCUUCGAACCUUCGAACCCAACUCCAGUGUCUACAACUUGAUCUCCUACUCCCCAAAUCGAGUAAUAAAAGGAUCCUUUUUGAAACAGAACUACUAUCUUUCAAUCCCUUGGGUGAAGUCAGACCACUUUGGUUUCGAUGUACCAGACCUUCUUUCUCCUUCGAGCAUAGAAAAAUGAAGGGGCAAUUGACAUGCAAUAAGACAAAUUAGCUUAGAGUGCCGCCCAUUACAAGUUGCCAAUUCAAGUGGCCAAUUACACUUCAAUUUUAUCCAAUGCUUAACCUUCACAUUCUUUGUUCUCCAUGAGACCUGAACAGUGGAAGAGGAGGAGAUAAGAAAGACGUUGGUUGAGGCAGGCAGGGGUUAUUGUAGAAAGGCUUGCUCUUUUUCUGAUCACCAUGUGCUUGCCAUACUUGGUGGCCUUCUCAAGGGCACGCUUGCCUUGAAUUGAUGGGGGACAAUCCACUCUGCCACAUGCCCGGACCCAAGAGAAUGUCUCAGCUUUUGGGCCGCAUGCCCGAAGAGACGCAGCUUUUACUAAUCUGUAGAAAGGAAUGAGAUUAUGAGGGAAGCUAAAGAUGGAGUUGAGCAGCCCAGGGAAGAGAGAAGUUGUGACCACAUCAAAGGUAGGGCUCCUAAUCAUAGAUGUCAUGAUUCCUCAUUCCUUUAUGCAUUGGAAGGGUUGGAUUAAAGGCUGCGGCUGCCAUGCUUCCUAGACAACCAGAAAGGAAGAACUCGCGACUGUAUGAUGGUUUUGUUUAGGGUUUUGCAUGAGACUGACAACUCACAGAAAUGAUUCUUCGAACUAAUGGGUGUUGGACCAAGAUUGCUUUAGUUGAAUUAAGGUUAAAAGGGAGGAAUACCAGCUUUAGAAUUAGGAUUCUUUGCAAGGGAAAAGUAUGUCUGCUACAGAGAAAGGGAUGAAUCCAUGAGCCCGAGACUCUAAGCUAAUGAUGAAGGCAAUAAUAUGAUGUGUGGGUCUCGAGGAGCUUACUUAAUCUGUCUGACCUUUUGCAUGUGUUUAGGGUUCUCGGUGGAGGAGAAUUGUCUGCGUGGAAGAAGCUUGGUUCAAUGGCAGUGGGAAGGGUGGUGCUGUGGUGCUACUGUUAACUGGAAGGAACCUGUUACCCAGGGUUUCCAGAUCUCUGACUUGUGACUUGAGGAACUUGAGGUAGUUGACAGCCUCAUCGAGCAUAGACGCAGUGUCCAUUCUGCUGCCCCCUGGGACCAGCCUUUGCAGUAUUCUCAGCCUCUCACUUAUCCUUUCCCUCCUAUGCCUUGCAGCCACAGUCUGUGGGUCACUCGAUAUCUUCACGUUCUUCCUCUGUGGCUUCUCCGCUGCCUCCUCCACCCCCAGACUCACCGGCCGCAGAGCUGCAGCCCUAUAGAUCAUCUCCUUCGCCUGC
rnacentral:lncRNA from 1 species